rnacentral:pre_miRNA from 1 species
CAGGACCCCAUUGUGCUUGAUCUAACCAUGUGGUUCUACCCCAGUACAUGGUUAUGCCAAGCACUCUGGGGACUUG